rnacentral:rRNA from 1 species
GGGAUUGCCCCAGUAACGGCGAGUGAAGCGGCAAGAGCUCAAAUUUGAAAUCUGACCCCCUCCUCGGGGGCCCGAGUUGUAAUUUGUAGAGGAUGCUUCGGGCAAGGCUGCGCUCUAACUCGCUUGGAACAGCGGGUCGCAGAGGGUGAGAGUCCCGUCCAGGAUCGCGUGCCGCGCCCGGGUGAAGCUCCUUCGACGAGUCGAGUUGUUUGGGAAUGCAGCUCAAAGCGGGUGGUAAAUUCCAUCUAAAGCUAAAUACCGGCCAGAGACCGAUAGCGCACAAGUAGAGUGAUCGAAAGAUGAAAAGCACUUUGAAAAGAGAGUUAAACAGUAUGUGAAAUUGUUGAAAGGGAAGCGCUGGCCACCAGACUUGCGGGCGACGGUUCCCCCGGUCCUCUGACCGGGCUUACUCCAUCGCCCCCAGGCCAGCAUCGGUCCGGGCGGCCGGUGAAAGGCCCCGGGAAUGUAUCUACCGUCCGGUCGACCUAUAGCCCGGGGUGACAUACGGCCCACCCGGACCGAGGGACGCGCUCCGGCACGGAUGUUGGCGUAAUGGUGGUCAGCGGCCCGUCUUGAAACACGGACCAAGGAGUCUAACAUCCAUGCGAGUGUUUGGGUGUCAAACCCCGGCGCGGAAUGAAAGUGAACGGAGGUGAGAACCCCGCGAGGGGCGCAUCAUCGACCGAUCCGGAUGUCUUCGGAUGGAUUUGAGUAAGAGCAUGGCUGUUGGGACCCGAAAGAUGGUGAACUAUGCCUGGAUAGGGUGAAGCCAGAGGAAACUCUGGUGGAGGCUCGCAGCGGUUCUGACGUGCAAAUCGAUCGUCAAAUCUGGGUAUAGGGGCGAAAGACCAAUCGAACCGUCUGGUAGCUGGUUCCUGCCGAAGUUUCCCUCAGGAUAGCAGUAACGGAUUCAGUUUUACGAGGUAAAGCGAAUGAUUAGAGGCCUUGGGGUUGAAACAACCUUAACCUAUUCUCAAACUUUAAAUAUGUAAGAAGUCCUUGUUGCCUCGGUGAACGUGGACCGUCGAAUGGAUCGUUACUAGUGGGCCAUUUUUGGUAAGCAGAACUGGCGAUGCGGGAUGAACCGAACGCGGGGUUAAGGUGCCGGAAUGCACGCUCAUCAGACACCACAAAAGGUGUCAAUGCAUCCAGACAGCCGGACGGUGGCCAUGGAAGUCGGAAUCCGCUUAGGAGUGUGUAGGAAGAGACCCGACGGGGUUGUUGCACACGAUCAACCCCCGGCCCGUUGGCGGGGGGUUAGCUCGCACCGUCGCACGGUGGGAACGAUGGCUUCAUUGGGCUGGGACGUCAACUGCACGAUGACCGGCCGUAGAUUCCUCCCCGGGGGGAUCUAUCUACAGACUAGAAGGAGCCGACCGUGGGGGGAAGACCCACGGUCAAGAUAUAGUCGACUGCGGUCCCCGGCGGGGGACCGGUGGCGUGAACAACUCACCGGCCGAAUGCAUUGGCCCUGAAAAUGGAUGGCGCUUAAGCGUGUUACCUAUACCCCGCCGUUGGGGUUGAAAUGAGGCCCCAACGAGUAGGCAGGCGUGGGGGUCGGUGACGAAGCCUC